UACGUAGGGUGCAAGCGUUAAUCGGAAUUACUGGGCGUAAAGCGUGCGCAGGCGGUUAUGUAAGACAGGUGUGAAAUCCCAGGGCUUAACCUUGGAACUGCAUUUGUGACUGCAUAGCUAGAGUACGGUAGAGGGGGAUGGAAUUCCGCGUGUAGCAGUGAAAUGCGUAGAUAUGCGGAGGAACACCGAUGGCGAAGGCAAUCCCCUGGACCUGUACUGACGCUCAUGCACGAAAGCGUGGGGAGCAAACGAGGAUUAGA
rnacentral:rRNA from 1 species